rnacentral:rRNA from 1 species
UACGAACGCUGGCGGCGUGCCUAAUACAUGCAAGUUGAGCGCUGAAGGUUGGUACUUGUACCAACUGGAUGAGCAGCGAACGGGUGAGUAACGCGUGGGGAAUCUGCCUUUGAGCGGGGGACAACAUUUGGAAACGAAUGCUAAUACCGCAUAAAAACUUUAAACACAAGUUUUAAGUUUGAAAGAUGCAAUUGCAUCACUCAAAGAUGAUCCCGCGUUGUAUUAGCUAGUUGGUGAGGUAAAGGCUCACCAAGGCGAUGAUACAUAGCCGACCUGAGAGGGUGAUCGGCCACAUUGGGACUGAGACACGGCCCAAACUCCUACGGGAGGCAGCAGUAGGGAAUCUUCGGCAAUGGACGAAAGUCUGACCGAGCAACGCCGCGUGAGUGAAGAAGGUUUUCGGAUCGUAAAACUCUGUUGGUAGAGAAGAACGUUGGUGAGAGUGGAAAGCUCAUCAAGUGACGGUAACUACCCAGAAAGGGACGGCUAACUACGUG